rnacentral:misc_RNA from 1 species
GAUGAAGAACGUAGUGAAAUGCGAUAAGUAAUGUGAAUUGCAGAAUUCAGUGAAUCAUCGAAUCUUUGAACGCACCUUGCACCCUUUGGCAUUCCGAAGGGUAUGCUCGUUUGAGUGUCAUUGUACUCUCACACUCCCGAUCUUUGGAUUGGGAGCGGUGGACUUGGGUUUGCUGCUUGCCGUGGCUCACCUCAAGUGGAUUAGUGCAACUCUUGGUUGACCAUAGUACGGCGUGAUAAGUGUCUUCGCCGGCACCUCACUGGGUGGGCCGAUCGGGAGCUCUGUGCUUCAAACCGUCUUCGGACAACAACUGACAACUUGACCUCAAAUCGAGUAGGACCACCCGCUGAACUUAAGCAUAUCAAUAAGCGGAGGA